UACGUAGGGUGCAAGCGUUACUCGGAAUCACUGGGCGUAAAGGGUGCGUAGGCUGCCUAUUAAGUUGGAUGUGAAAGCCCUCGGCUUAACCGAGGAACUGCGUCCAAAACUGGUGGGCUUGGGGUUGGUAGGGGACAGUGGAACUCCAGGUGGAGCGGUGAAAUGCGUAGAGAUCUGGAGGAACUCCGGUGGCGAAAGCGACUGUCUGGGCCAUACCCGACGCUGAGGCACGAAAGCCAGGGGAGCGAACAGGAUUAGAAACCCUGGUAGU
rnacentral:rRNA from 1 species